CAGAUCCCACAGCCAUCCAUUGCUUUAAGAGAGGAAGCUUACAGCCUAAUUAUGAGUCAGCACAGAAUUUAUAAGAACUAAUCUACAUGGGAACCUUAUGCAUUUACCAUGUCCUGUGGAACAGGAGAUAAUACUGUGAACUGGUGAAGAUGCUGAGAUUAAAAUCUCCUUUGACCUCUUGCCUCAAGCAAUCCCCAAACUGUCAACAGAAGCUGCGGCCAAACUGUUGUACUGGAGCAUAAACACACGGAGUGUGGCUGAUGAAGCAAGAAAUAAAAUGAGUGGGCAGAGCAGGGGCAACAACUUUGCCUCUUUUUUCUAAGCAAGUGUUGUAAGGACUGCAAAAUGUACAAUGGCACAUCUAUGGCACGGCCAGUGCAAGACAUGAGAGAGGCAGGGAGUUGAUACACAUCUGCUUCUGUAUGUCUCUGACAUGGCUGCAGCUAGAAUGUGAUUCAGUCUCAGAUUAACAAACAGUGGCUACUCUGUAUUCCCAUGCACCAGUUGUAAAAAACCACUCAAAAUACCUGUACAUCAGUUUUCUGCUACUGGAGUCAUCUCCCAGCAGCAUUGUCAUUCACACAGGCAGAAAUUAAGCUGCUUCUUUAAGGAACUUCCCUUCUGUUUUUCAGAGUGCAAAGGAAAUGAAUGGGAAACAUGUUUAGUGUUCCUAAUCAUAAGUGACAUGUUUUGUAGAGAUCUACUUCUGUAAAGACUUCUGUAAUGGGUGAGAAAGGAGCAAAGAAGAAAAAAAGUUUUCUUCUAUUUCUUGUUUAAGGAGAAGGCUCCAGAGUAAUACUCACUCCUUUGUCUCCAUUACAGAUGAGGGUAAGUCAGACAAAAAUGAAAAGACUUUCCAAGGUUUUGCUACACAGUAAGGAUUUAAACUCAGAACUUCUGAAUACAACCCCUGUGCCUGAGCCACACAUUCAUUUUCUUCUCUGUAUUCCUCCACAAUCUUAGGCCAUGUGGCCACUGUUGGUGAAAUGAAAAACAGGUGCAGAUCCAUGAACAGAUGGGAGACCAGCCCUGGCUGAUCUCUGGAGGAUAAUACAACGUUGUUUUCCAGCAAAGAGGAUUCCAAAGAACCACAGAGGCAGCACCCCUGCCCUAAAACUAAAGCUGCUCUGUCUCACACUAAAUGUUAUCUCCACCAGCCCCGCAAGUGGGAGUUUUGAGGAGUGGUCUGUUGUCUAUCAGCAAAGGACACUGCCUCACUGACCUCUCGGAUUUGCAAUAUCGACAUCUCUGUUUUUCAGGCAUGCCUAUAAAGAUUGUAGAAGACUAAUUGCAAUUCCAUUCUUAGCAGUAACUACAGCCAAUGUUUCUAAGUUGCUGGAACAUGAAAUUUCUUCCCUUGAGUAGACAUCUUUGGAAUGCCUAACUCUCAAAAAAUGCCAUUAGCCAUAUGCAGCAUCUUUCUCUGGGAAAAUCACUAGUGGUAUGGGACAAAUCUCCAGGUAAGAUAAAUAAUAUAUUUGUUCUGGAUGUGUAAGGAGAGAUCUACUUUUCAUUUCCAGUGCAUGUCUUAUUCCACAAGAAUUGGUUAAACAAAGAACUUGGACUGCUUUUUUAAUGGGAGAGUGAUAGUAGAUUACUAACAGGACAAUUGCCUGGGCCUAAGCACAGGAUGGAGUGCAAAGAAUUCCCUGCCUUGUGUGACCCACAGUUGUCCCUGCAAGACACAUUUCCCCUCCGUGUGUCACCUGACACAUCAGCCAGAAGUGUCAGCAAAGGCAGGGCAGUCCUCACUGUGCACAGAGCACAACCCAAGAAGAAAGUACAUGCAAGAGAACAGGGAGUGUUUCUUAGGAUCUAGGAAUAGUUUAAAUUGGACAGGACCUUUAAAGACCAUCUAGUCUAACCCUCCUGGCUGUGAGCAGCAUCAUCUUCAUCUAGAUAAGGUUGCUCAGUGACCCAUCCAACCUGACCUUGAAGAUUUCCUGGGAUGGGGCAUCUAUACCUCUCUGGGCAACC